rnacentral:rRNA from 1 species
GUUGUAUAGUCAAGUAAUUAAGUGCAUGUGGUGGAUGCCUUGGCAGUCAGAGGCGAUGAAAGACGUGAUAGCCUGCGAAAAGCUCCGGGGAGGCGGCAAAUAUCCUUUGAUCCGGAGAUGUCUGAAUGGGGGAACCCACCUACUUUAAGGUAGGUAUUGCAACAUGAAUACAUAGUGUUGCAAGGCGAACGAGGGGAAGUGAAACAUCUCAGUACCCUUAGGAAAAGAAAUCAAUUGAGAUUCCCUCAGUAGCGGCGAGCGAACGGGGAUCAGCCCAUUAAGUUAUGUGUGUUUUAGUGGAACGCUCUGGGAAGUGCGAACGUAGAGGGUGAUAUUCCCGUACACGAAAGGGCACACAUAAUGAUGACGAGUAGGGCGAGGCACGUGAAACCUUGUCUGAAUAUGGGGGGACCAUCCUCCAAGGCUAAAUACUCCUGACUGACCGAUAGUGAACCAGUACCGUGAGGGAAAGGCGAAAAGAACCCCUGUGAGGGGAGUGAAAUAGAUCCUGAAACCGCAUGCAUACAAGCAGUGGGAGCACCUUCGUGGUGUGACUGCGUACCUUUUGUAUAAUGGGUCAGCGACUUAUAUUCAGUAGCAAGGUUAACCGUAUAGGGGAGCCGUAGAGAAAUCGAGUCUUAAUAGGGCGUUUAGUUGCUGGGUAUAGACCCGAAACCAGGCGAUCUAUCCAUGAGCAGGUUGAAGGUUGGGUAACACUAACUGGAGGACCGAACCCACUGUCGUUGAAAAGCCAGGGGAUGACUUGUGGAUAGGGGUGAAAGGCUAAUCAAGCCUGGUGAUAGCUGGUUCUCCCCGAAAGCUAUUUAGGUAGCGCCUCGGACGAAUACCAUAGGGGGUAGAGCACUGUUUCGGCUAGGGGGUCAUCCCGACUUACCAAACCGAUGCAAACUCCGAAUACCUAUGAGUACUAUCCGGGAGACAGACUGCGGGUGCUAACGUCCGUAGUCAAGAGGAAAACAAUCCAGACCGCCAGCUAAGGCCCCAAAAUCAUAGUUAAGUGGGAAACGAUGUGGGAAGGCAUAGACAGCUAGGAGGUUGGCUUAGAAGCAGCCACCCUUUAAAGAAAGCGUAAUAGCUCACUAGUCGAGUCGGCCUGCGCGGAAGAUGUAACGGGGCUAAAACUAUGUGCCGAAGCUGCGGAUNUUGACAUUAGUCAAGUGGUAGGGGAGCGUUCUGUAAGCCGAUGAAGGUGUAUUGAGAAGUAUGCUGGAGGUAUCAGAAGUGCGAAUGCUGACGUGAGUAACGACAAAACGGGUGAAAAACCCGUUCGCCGAAAGACCAAGGGUUCCAGUCCAACGUUAA